AUAUUUACGUGGCAGGGGAUUAAGAAGGUGGUUUUCUAGGGCGAGGUUUAUCCACUGCGCGCCGGGAGUGCUGACCCCUGUGAUUUCCCCAAAUGCAGGAAACUCGACUGCAUAAUUUGUGGUAUUGGGAGACUGCGUUUGUGCUCUUCCAU
ensembl:snRNA U1 U1 spliceosomal RNA